AUGCUUGCUUUGGAAGCACAUAUAAUAAAAUUGGAAUGCUACAGAGAUUAGCAUGGCACUUGGGCAUGGAUAACAUGCAAAGUUGUGAAGCAUUCCAUAUUUUU
rnacentral:snRNA from 1 species